rnacentral:tRNA from 1 species
GGAGAGUUACUCAAGUGGUGACGAGGUUUGGUUGCUAACCAGAUAGGCCGGUAACGGCGCGGGGGUUCGAUCCCCUCACUCUCCG